rnacentral:lncRNA from 1 species
GCCGGGAGCUGGUGGUCUGAGCUCGUCCUCCAGGCAGGCCUUGGCCUUAGCAUUGUCCUGGAAGUCGCCAUCGCCGUUUCCCGCCUUGGCUCCAGCCGUUUUUAUUUGGAAAGCAUGUUGUUCCAUCCACCCCCUCCGUGGUCCUCAGGGUGCUCUUGGUUCAGAUGCCUUCCCUCUUCCCCAUUCCAUUAUAGGUUCCUUCAAUGGUGCCCUGUCCACCGUGCCUGUCCACAACCUGGGGACAACUGUUAUCAAAGAAGUCCUUCAGAGAGCCAAAGUGGCUCCAGAAGAGGUGUCCGAGGUCAUAUUUGGACACGUUUUGACUGCAGGCUGUGGGCAGAAUCCUACUCGACAAGCCAGUGUGGGUGCGGGGAUCCCCUACUCGGUGCCAGCAUGGAGCUGCCAGAUGAUCUGUGGCUCGGGCCUAAAAGCCGUGUGCCUUGCAGCUCAGUCCAUAGCCAUGGGUGACUCCACCAUCGUGGUUGCUGGAGGCAUGGAGAACAUGAGCAA